rnacentral:rRNA from 1 species
UACGUAGGUGGCAAGCGUUAUCCGGAUUUAUUGGGCGUAAAGGGAACGCAGGCGGUCUUUUAAGUCUGAUGUGAAAGCCUUCGGCUUAACCGGAGUAGUGCAUUGGAAACUGGGAGACUUGAGUGCAGAAGAGGAGAGUGGAACUCCAUGUGUAGCGGUGAAAUGCGUAGAUAUAUGGAAGAACACCAGUGGCGAAGGCGGCUUUCUGGACUGUAACUGACACUGAGGUACGAAAGCGUGGGGAGCAAACAGG